AUUGAACGCUGGCGGCAUGCCUAACACAUGCAAGUCGAACGAGUGGCGGACGGGUGAGUUAUGUCUGGGAAAUUGCCUGAUGGAGGGGGAUAACUACUGGUAACGGUCGCUAAUUUCGCUUACCAUCGGUUGCGCCCUGAUGGGAUUAGCUAGUAGGUGGGGUAAAGGCUAACUUAGGCGAGUAUCUCUACCGGGUCUGAGAGGAUGACCUGCCACACUGGAAUUGAGAAACGGGGCAGAGCAGUAAGGGAGGCAGCAGAGGGAAGUAUUGAACAAUGGGGUCAGGCCUGAUGCGGACAUGACGCGUGUAAGAAGAAGGCGUUCGGGUGGGAAAGUACUUUCAGCGGGGAGACGUUACCAGAAGAAGAAGGACCGGCUAAAUCCGUGCCAGCAGACGCGGUAAUUC
rnacentral:rRNA from 1 species